GGAUAACAUUUGGAAACAGAUGCUAAUACCGCAUAACAACAAAAGCCACAUGGCUUUUGUUUGAAAGAUGGCUUUGGCUAUCACUCUGGGAUGGACCUGCGGUGCAUUAGCUAGUUGGUAAGGUAACGGCUUACCAAGGCGAUGAUGCAUAGCCGAGUUGAGAGACUGAUCGGCCACAAUGGAACUGAGACACGGUCCAUACUCCUACGGGAGGCAGCAGUAGGGAAUCUUCCACAAUGGGCGCAAGCCUGAUGGAGCAACACCGCGUGAGUGAAGAAGGGUUUCGGCUCGUAAAGCUCUGUUGUUGGAGAAGAACGUGCGUGAGAGUAACUGUUCACGCAGUGACGGUAUCCAACCAGAAAGUCACGGCUAACUACGUGCCAGCAGCCGCGGUAAUACGUAGGUGGCAAGCGUUAUCCGGAUUUAUUGGGCGUAAAGCGAGCGCAGGCGGUUGCUUAGGUCUGAUGUGAAAGCCUUCGGCUUAACCGAAGAAGUGCAUCGGAAACCGGGCGACUUGAGUGCAGAAGAGGACAGUGGAACUCCAUGUGUAGCGGUGGAAUGCGUAGAUAUAUGGAAGAACACCAGUGGCGAAGGCGGCUGUCUGGUCUGCAACUGACGCUGAGGCUCGAAAGCAUGGGUAGCGAACAGGAUUAGAUACCCUGGUAGUCCAUGCCGUAAACG
rnacentral:rRNA from 1 species